rnacentral:piRNA from 1 species
UGAUUGGUUGUUUACAGAAACAUUGGCAAC